rnacentral:ncRNA from 1 species
UUCGAUGCAAAGCGAAGUCCCUUACCAGGGCUUGACAUGCCGCGAAUCCUCUUGAAAGAGAGGGGUGCCCUCGGGAACGCGGACACAGGUGGUGCUGGCUGUCGUCAGCUCGUGCCGUAAGGUGUUGGGUUAAGUCUCGCAACGAGCGCAACCCUCGUGUUUAGUUGCCACUGUGAGCCAGAGUCAGUCUAGUAUUGAUACUGAUGUGGUAUUAGUUUUUUAAUUAGCCAGGGGUUGUAUUUUGUAUUGG